rnacentral:sRNA from 1 species
UGCCGUUGACAACAACACAGUAGGUAGU